AGUGAACGCUGGCGGUAGGCCUAACACAUGCAAGUCGAACGGCAGCACAGUAAGAGCUUGCUCUUACGGGUGGCGAGUGGCGGACGGGUGAGGAAUACAUCGGAAUCUACUUUUUCGGGGGGGAUAACGUAGGGAAACUUACGCUAAUACCGCAUACGACCUACGGGUGAAAGCAGGGGAUCUUCGGACCUUGCGCGAUUGAAUGAGCCGAUGUCGGAUUAGCUAGUUGGCGGGGUAAAGGCCCACCAAGGCGACGAUCCGUUGCUGGUCUGAGUGGAUGGUCGGCCACACUGGAACUUGACCACGGUCCAGGCUCCUACGGGAGGCAGCAGUGGGGAAUAUUGGACAAUGGGCGCGAGUCUGAUCCAGCCGUACCGCGUGGGUGAAGAAGGCCUUCGGGUUGUAAAGCCCUUUUUUUGGGUAAGAACAGCAGCCGGUUAAUACCCCGCUGUUCUGACGGUACCCAAAGAAUAAGCACCGGCUAACUUCGUG
rnacentral:rRNA from 1 species